GCAAAGGCUUUAUCAUGCGCUUACCACGCUGUGUACGUUAGCGAUAUUAGUUGGAUUCCAUUCCACAUUUCUCGAAACGAAAAGAAAAAAAAAUGUUAAUAUUAAUAAGAAAAUCCUAGAAAUUUCACAAAUCUACCGGAUUAGGGUUUCUAGCGAGUGCUCCCUCUCUCCGUUUCUAGCUUCCGGAGACGAAGAUUCUGCAAUCUUUUGUGCCCCUGAGAUUGUUUUUGUUAGAGUGAGCUUAAGCUUUGAGAAUUUGAUUGAAAGGAAUAAGCUUUUUUGUUUUGUUUUGUUUAAGAUGGACGAGGGAGAUGGGAGAGAUCAGUUCCAUCGCAACGAGGCGAUCUCUGCCGUCGCUGACGAGGGUUUUAUGGCGGAGGAAGACGACGAUUACGAUGAUCUUUAUAACGACGUUAAUGUCGGAGAUGGGUUUCUUCAGUCUGCGAGGAAGACCGACGAGGAGAAGGAGAAGGUCAAAACGGAGGGUGAAGAACCAGUUUUAGGUACACCAGAAGCUGAGAUUUCGACACCUGGUUUGGUUGGUGAGAGCGUUGCUGUCAAAGAAGAAGCAGGAGAAGGAGGAGGAGGAGGAGGAAGUGUUACAGAUGUGGUAGUCGCUUCUAGUGGAUAUGGAGCUCAAGAGCGUAAGGUAGGCGAUGUUAGCCAGCAGAUACCUGGAGGCGGGCUUAGAGUUGAGCUAGGGCAAGCUCCUACCAGGGCUAAUGAUGCGGAGGCUCCUAAAGGAAAUAACUUUUCUCAGGGUGUAUUGCCACCCCCGCCUAGCUUGGGAAAUAACGGGAAUUUGAUGAGACCUGUGUUGGGUAAUGCUAAUGGACCUGGUGGUAACAUGGUCGGGAACGGAGCUAUUAUCCAUAUGCCUGGUGUGGGGAACGGUGGUGGUGGUGGCGUAACUACUCUUUUCAUUGGUGAUUUGCAUUGGUGGACAACUGAUGCUGAACUUGAGGCAGAGCUUUGCAAGUAUGGUACAGUGAAGGAGGUUAGGUUCUUCGAUGAGAAAGCUAAUGGGAAGUCGAGAGGGUAUUGUCAAGCGGAGUUCUAUGAUCCUAUGGCAGCUGCCGCUUGCAAAGAGGGGAUGGAUGGUUAUGAGUUCAAUGGGAGGCCUUGUGUUGUUGAGAUUGCCCCUCCGUAUAUGGUUAAGAGACUGGGGGAGGCACAGGUGAACAGAAGCCAACAGGCGCAAGCUGCACUUGCACAAGCUAAGAGAGGAGGGCCUGCUGAUCCUCCGAGUAAACCAGUCAUUGCCACCACCAACAACAACAACAACAACAACGGCGGGAAUUUCCAAGGUGGGGAAAAUAGAGGAUUCGGUAGAGGUAACUGGGGUAGAGGCAAUGCUCAAGGAAUGGGUGGUAGGGGACCAGGUGGUCAAAUGAGGAAUAGGCCUGGGAUGGGUGGAAGAGGUUUGAUGGGUAAUGGUGGAGGUGGUGGGUUUGGUCAGGGAAUGGGCUCAGGGCCUCCUAUGAAUAUGAUGCAUCCAAUGAUGGGGCAAGGGUUUGAACAGGGUUUUGGUGGACCCAUGGGGAGAAUGGGAACGUAUGGAGGAUUCCCUGGGGCUCCAGGUCCACCGUUUCCUGGGCUUUUGCCCUCGUUCCCUCCUGUUGGAUUACCUGGAGUGGCACCUCACGUGAAUCCAGCGUUUUUCGGUAGAGGGAUGCCGAUGAAUGGAAUGGGAAUGAUGCCUAAUGCUGGUGCUGAUAUGGGAAUGUGGGAUCCUAAUAGUGGAGGAUGGGGUGGUGGUGGUGGUGAAGAUUUGAGUGCUGCCAGAGCUGCGGAAUCGAGUUACGGGGAGGAAGCUGCAUCGGAUCAUCAGUAUGGAGAGGUUACUCACGAUAGAGGGGCUCGUCCGAAUCAUGUAAAGGAUAAAGAGAGGGCUUCAGAAAGGGAAUGGUCUGGUUCAUCUGAUAGAAGGAAUCGUGAGGAUAAAUAUGCUGGUUAUGAGAGGGACAUACCGAGGGAGAAAGAUGUUGGUCAUGGUUAUGAUUUGCCAGAGAGAAGGCAUCGUGAUGAUAGAGACACCGGUCGUGAGCGUGAGAGGGAACAUCAUCAUAAGGAGCGUGAACGUUCCAGGGAUCGUGACAGAGAAAUGGACAGGGAGAAGGUUCGUCAUAGAGAAGAACGAGAAAGAUAUGGUGGUGAUCAUCGAAAUAGACACAGGGACGAACCGGAGCAUGAUGAUGAGUGGAACAGAGGUCGAUCAUCCAGAGGGCACAGUAAGUCACGGUUGUCUCGGGAGGAUAACCAUCGCUCAAGAUCAAGGGAUGCUGAUUAUGGGAAAAGAAGACGGCUUACAGUUGAAUAGUUAUUGCAUAAAAACAUUGCUAAUUACUGGUCAGAUUAGUUUGUAUACUUAAAGCGUUAUGGGUAGAUUGACUUUGAGAGCUCCCACAAAAUUCUGAAGCCGUAUGGAAGAAGAAAAAAGAAGACCCCAGGAAGAGUCGACUCGUCACAGAAAGAAGUCUUUCACUGGUGAAUCUCUUCUUCAACUCAGCUUAGUUACUUAGAAUUGGAAAAAAACUUGGCAAACGUUUCGCCUUAUUUAAGUUUCAGGACUCCUUACCUUUUACCAGUUUUAUUAUAUGUGAAACUUCUAAGACCAGUGUAUUGUGGUGAUGUUAUGGCCUGUCGUUUGUCCUUGUUCUUAUUCUAAUUGUUUCUGAAUUUGUGAUUGUGUAGUUGUAUUAGUCGCAGCCAAAUAGUUAUCUUGGCCAGUGUCACUGAUCUCGUUUCUCCAUGUUUUAGCCAUCUGAGUUGUAUUGUAUGUUUUCACUGAAUUUGUAAGCCCUUCGUCUGCCUUAGAGGUCAUGGAUACAUGCAAAUGUAACAGCAUGUGCAUCCUUUGUGGGUUGUGUUUUUCGAA